GCGAUUUCUGUGACUUCUGCGAUUUCUGUGACUCCUGCGAUUUCUGCGACUUACCACCGUAUGAAAAAGCUACAUCUGUCCACACAGAAAAUUGCAUCUCAACAAACCUGUCAUUGGUACCCGAACUACAUUUCAGUCACUCAGUAAAGUGAUAACUCAAAAUAUCAUUGUCAGCAGAUCUGGAGAAAUUGCCACUGCGUCUUUAGACCGUUUUCGUCAGACGAGAGACACAGUUCUGGUUGCUGUAUGUAUCUAUCCACAACAAGGCUGUUGGGAGAGACUCGUGAAGAUUCAAGAGAGCUCUUAGAGGAUUUACGGUUUAAAAGUGACAUUAUUGCGAAAUAAGUGUGCAGAUGAG